UACGAAGGGUGCUAGCGUUGUUCGGAAUUACUGGGCGUAAAGAGUACGUAGGCGGUUUUAUUAGUUAGGCGUGAAAGCCCAGGGCUUAACCUUGGAAUAGCGCUUAAAACUGUAGAACUAGAGUAUGGGAGAGGAUAGUGGAAUUCCGAGUGUAGAGGUGGAAUUCGUAGAUAUUCGGAGGAACACCAGAGGCGAAAGCGACUAUCUGGAACAUUACUGACGCUGAGGUACGAAAGCGUGGGGAUCAAACAGG
rnacentral:rRNA from 1 species